ACCUGUACUCCCUUCACCCACCUUAAAGAUAAAACAACUUCUUUUUCUUCGGGGAGGAGUAUGGCCACGAGGAUGAAACUUAGAGGAGUUGAAGGGGGGGCACCACGCGGGGUGGAGCCUGCUUCUUAAUUUGACUCAACACGGAAAAACUCACCACGUCCAGACAGAAGAAGGAAUGAAAUAUUGAUACCUCUUUCAUGAUUCUUUGGGUGGUGGUGCAUGGCCCUUCUUAGUUGGAGGAAUGAGUUGGCUGGUUUAUUCCAUUAACCAACAACACCUUAACCUGCUAAAUAUGGUGAAGAAUUCUAUUUCUACUCUUCUUCUUACUUCUUCUUUGCGGUUUUUGUGCCUAUCGAAGGUAAAGUUAAUGCAAGAAA
rnacentral:rRNA from 1 species